CUUCUUUUCUGGCAUGUCCGGUGUGGUGUGCCAGAAUCAACGUUUGGGUAGGCAUGUAAAAGAGGGCCCACCAAGAUGCAUGGCUUAAUAAAGGGAGUGGUGGGUGGACUGAACCAGGCGGUCUUGACCCAGAGGAAGAGGAGGUCUGUAUAUUUAAAGGCCGGGUAACUCAUCCCACAAUUCCAGGCUUUGCCUACCAGUUCAGCCUUCUCAUAUAUAUU